rnacentral:sRNA from 1 species
UAGGCUCUAAAAACUAGUUCGUGUUUUCUCUAAAUGAUAAAAUGUUAAUGUCAGUAAUAUAUGGUGCGAUAUGAGUAUAAGAUUUCUAUCAACAUUAAAGGGUUGCUUAAGUAUCCCCCUCGUACUUUUGUGCACAAUCCAUUGAAAGCAUAAUUUCUUCGAGUGAUUGCAGAGUGGAGAGUCUCGAGCAAAUGCCACCCCAAUAAGCAUUAUGCCUCCGGGCCAUGGGACAUCGGGCGAACUAUAUGGUAGGGAGGAUAUCUAUAGAGAGCGAAAGAGAGAGAGGGGGCUAGGGUGUGGGAAAGAGAGGGGGAGACCCAUACGCUUUAACCUGUUUUCCGCGAAGCUUUUACGCACUCGCAGCGCUCUCCAAGUACGCGAGCGAAAGCAAAAAAGAGAGCGAAACACUCGCUUUAUUAUUUUAUAUAUUUUUUUGUUGUUGUUUUUUUUGCCACCCUUCUGGGGGAAAAGCACUAGCGCACGAAGGAGAUUUUCAGCCGAGAGAUUCUAGAGAGAAACGCAGAGGAAAAGAGACCAUCCGCCAGCGAAUUGGCCCAGUAUCCAUUCGGCCGUGUUCCCAUAAUGUCCGCCAGCGGUCGUCGCUUCUGUCGCAGCCGUUGCCAAAGUUGUCAUUGUCAUCCGUACCAGCAAACGCAGCAGCAAAAGCAGCAGCAUCAAGCAGCAGCAGCAACUAGCAUCAACUAGCAGCCACUUCGCAGCAGCAACAUCUAUAGAAGAAGCGGAGCAACAGCAGCAGCUUAAAAAUACAUUUUUCACAAUGAAGCAAACGAGCGGAGAUGAUAAAAUGUGUGCCACAGGAAACAACAGGAUGUCAGAGAAAUCCUCAAAGAAUCUGAACUAUAUAGACAACCAGAUGGAAAUAUCUCAAUAAACAUAAACAUAAACAAAUAAGCAAACAAAUAACAAAGCCGAAGAAAAGGAAAAGUCAGCGAGAGAAAUAAUCACAAAACAACCAGAAAGAAAGAAAGCUUUAACUAAAAUAUUUUUAACUAUACAAUAUACAUACAUACAUAUAUAAAUUAAUUAUAGAAAUAGCAACCUAAGUGUUUAGUGCGUAAAAUAAAAUUUUAAACAAAAAAAACUGGGAAAAUCGAGCAAGUGUACAGACCAAAAAGUGAGGGCAGCUUCUGAUUUUCGGUGAUAUGGUGUAAAUGUGAUAAACAACGUUCUAAAAAAAAAAAAAAAAA